CUCUGAUGAGGAUUGUCACCUGGACUGAAAUCCUGAGGCACACCUUGUUGGAUGUGGAGCAGUGACCAUCACAAAGAAUGGAGGGGUGACCACAGGAUGCCCCCCCAAUGACCCCCUAGCAAUAGCCUGACCACAACACUCCUCCGCCCCUCACUGCCCUGUAGCUCCCCUAAGCUGUAAGUGGACAAUGGCUCCAACCUCCAUGUGGCCCCUUCUGCGGGCCAGCCUGGACUGAGCCUGUCCUGCUGAGCCGCCCUCUCUGUCUCCUUCCCCGGACUCCGUCCUUACAGUCACCAUGGGCCCCUCUUUCUGAACCUCUAUGUCCUGCUCCCUCGCUCUGCCUCUGCUGCCUUCUACGUCACAGGUCCUGGCUUUGGUUUUGGUGUGGUGACGGCUGCCGGAGGCUUCCGGGUGCUGUGCUCAGCUCUGGAACUCAAGACUUUAUUCCAAGAGUCGUUUGUGGUCCUCCUCCUCCCCCUUUCUCGUUGUACCUUCCUGAAGGUCACCCUGUCCUCUGAGAUUCACAGAAGAUAUUUAAUUCUAGGUCCUGAUAGGAAAGUCAGCGCCUCCUCUUGUUUGCUGUUACUUUGAGCUUUUCGACUUCUGGUCCCUGUGGGUCUAGUUUUCUUCGGCUGGUGAUGUCCUGAUCACCAUAUGGAAUGUCCAGCCCAGGUGUGGAACCCCUCCUGGCUGUGUGUCCCCCAGAUGGUGUCCAUGCCGUUCACCUUGGGGGUGCACUUUGCUGAAGCCUUAGCUGGGGAGGGGGCUUCACAACCUGCAGAGUGCAGAGCUGUACUUUAAGGCCUUGGCCUCUG
rnacentral:lncRNA from 1 species